rnacentral:rRNA from 1 species
GACGAACGCUGGCGGCGUGCUUAACACAUGCAAGUCGAACGGUAAGGCCCUUCGGGGUACACGAGUGGCGAACGGGUGAGUAACACGUGGGUGAUCUGCCCUGCACUUCGGGAUAAGCCUGGGAAACUGGGUCUAAUACCGGAUAGGACCCUGGGAUGCAUGUCCUGGGGUGGAAAGCUUUUGCGGUGUGGGAUGGGCCCGCGGCCUAUCAGCUUGUUGGUGGGGUGAUGGCCUACCAAGGCGGCGACGGGUAGCCGGCCUGAGCGGGUGACCGGCCACACUGGGACUGGGAGACGGCCCAGUCUGCUACGGGAGGCAGCAGUGGGGAAUAUUGCACAAUGGGCGCAAGCCUGAUGCAGCGACGCCGCGUGAGGGAUGACGGCCUUCGGGUUGUAAACCUCUUUCAGCACCGACGAAGCGCAAGUGACGGUAGGUGCAGAAGAAGGACCGGCCAACUACGUGCCAGCAGCCGCAGUAA